UACGGAGAAACGGUGAGAGCAUGUUAUUUCUCCCUCUCUCCAAUUUUCUACCAAAAGCAAAACGUUAAAGGAAAAGGAAAACACUCUCUCCAAUUUCUCCCCAAAUUUGAAGAUGGUUGAAGCCAUUCGAAACGUGAUUUUCGAAACACUAUCGGAGAUUGACAAAUUUGUCACCGUCUCCUGCCUACAACCACACCGCGAACUCGUCGACUGGGACUUUCCUCAGAUCUACAAUAUAAAUUCCACCAAAUUUCAACACAUUCGGCUUGACAGUAAGAAUGCCAGGAAAGAACUUUGGAGUAUGUCACUGCUGCAAGAGUAAGGCCUACUUCUUUGCCGAAUGCUCGACAAAAGUUCGAUGCCCAACAUGUAACCAAGGUUUUCAAAAGUUUUUCGAGGUAAAACGGGCUACAGCUAACAAAGGUAAAUUCUUCAAAUGUUGCAAUCAGAAAUGUGAUUUUUGGGAGUGGUGCAAAGAAGGGGAAUCAAGUGACGAAGCCAAGAACAUUGGUGUGUGUUGCCUAAGCCCGAUCCGGUCAAAUCAGUUGACGAUAUGUCCUGCAUAUUUCAGUCUCAAGUUCGGCUUAACAAUGAACAUGAACUCCACAUUUCUGUGAACGUGACAAUCCGUACGGGAAAAUCAAGCGCCGAAUGGAACACCAAAGGCAAGGGGCAAGCUUGAUUAGUGGUGGAUUUUUGCUUAGUUAUCUCAAAUCUGUUGUUUAAGUGUAAGGAAAAUCAAUGUUGUAGAUUUAUCAUGACAAUAUGUCGUCUAUGUCAGUAAGGUACAACUUAUCAACUUAUCAAUGUAGUAGAUUUAUCA